rnacentral:rRNA from 2 species
UAUUAAACAAGAUAAGAGUUUUUGGUGGAUGCCUUGGGUCUGGAAGUCGAUGAAGGACGUGAUUACCUGCGAUAAGCCUCGGUUAGCUGGAAAUAUGCUGUUAUCCGGGGAUUUCCGAAUGGGGAAACCUAAUUGAGCUAAUCCUCAAUUAUCAUAUCGAUGAAUUCAUAGUCGAAUGAAGAGACACGCUGUGAAUUGAAACAUCUCAGUAGCAGCAGGAAGAGAAAAUAAAGAAUGAUUCCCUCAGUAGUGGCGAGCGAACGGGGAAGAGCCCAAACCAACAUUCGUUGUUGGGGUUGUAGGACUACAUUAUAGAGUUACAAAAUUUAUACAUAGCAGAAUAAGUUGGAAUGCUUAAACAUAGAGGGUGAAAUUCCCGUAAGCGAAAUGUCUAAAUCUCUUUGUAGUAUCCUGAGUAGGGCGGGGCACGUGAAACCCUGUCUGAAUCUGCCGGGACCACCCGGUAAGGCUAAAUACUAACCAGACACCGAUAGUGAACUAGUA